UACGUAGGGUGCGAGCGUUGUCCGGAAUUAUUGGGCGUAAAGGGCUCGUAGGCGGUUUGUCGCGUCGGGAGUGAAAACCAGGUGCUUAACACCUGGCUUGCUUUCGAUACGGGCAGACUAGAGGUAUGCAGGGGAGAACGGAAUUCCUGGUGUAGCGGUGGAAAUGCGCAGAUAUCAGGAAGAACACCGGUGGCGAAGGCGGCUCUCUGGGCCUUACCUGACGCUGAGGAGCGAAAGCGUGGGUAGCGAACAGG
rnacentral:rRNA from 1 species